rnacentral:rRNA from 1 species
GACGAACGCUGGCGGCGUGCUUAACACAUGCAAGUCGAACGGAAAGGCCCUGCUUGCAGGGUGCUCGAGUGGCGAACGGGGGAGUAACACGUGUGUGAACCGCCCCCUACUUUUUGAUAAGCCUGGGAAACAGGGGCUAAUACUGGAGAUGACCAUUCCUGAUGCGGGGUGGGGGAAAGAAAGGUUUCGGUAAGGGGUGAGGUCGCGGCCUCUCAGCUUGUUGGUGGGGGAGUGGCCGAUCAAGGCGUCUACGGGGGGCGGGCCUGCGAGGGGGGUCGGCCGCAUUGGGGCUGCGGUGCGGCCGACAAGCCUACGGGGGGCAGCAGUGGGGAAGAUUGCACCAUGGGGGGAAGACUGAUGAAGCGACGACGCCUGGGGGGUGACGGCCUUCGGGUUGUAAACUCCUGCCAGCCAUGACGAAGCACUUGUGGUGACGGUAGUGGUAGAAGAAGCACCGGCUAACUACGUG